AGGGAUACGUGGUGCAGGAUUUUGAUUUUGAUCCUCUACUUACGUGCAGCGACAGCCGAGGAGAGUUCUCCGUACUAAAAUAUGAUGGUACCUUGCCGCAAUGCGCAGAGGAAUCGGAGGGAUCGUUCUUUGACUACAAGCUACAGGAGUACUAUUAUUUCGUUGGCGACUGUGUUGCGGCGAAGGAACAGAUCCGACAGAAUUUCAUCUCCGCUUUAAAAACAAGCCUGGGUGACGUAAGCUCGAAUCUCAACUGUUCAUCUGAUCUUGUGGAGGUACACUGUCCAUUUCUGCUGUCUUGACGCUGUCAGGAAAAGGUCCAAAUAAAUUGUCACCGUCGAAAGCCAUUACAAUGCAAGAGCAGAUACAUCAGGCACGCGCCAAGAGCAACGUCAGUCUGGAAAUUGGUAACGAAAUGGCACUCCAGUUAACGUCCAUCCAAGUUUCCAAUCCCGAAGUCACGUGCACAUUUUGCUCAUAUAUGGAUAAAUUCACUCUCAGUUGUGAUAAAUGACAGACACUCGCAAUCUGAGAGGUAGGCAAACAACCAAGGCCGAAAGACCAGGCAGAGAUGAUAAUCAAUGCUUAUCAACCCGUCCAAGCCAGCAGAAGAAGUACAUUUACAAA